rnacentral:rRNA from 1 species
AGUGAACGCUGGCGGUAGGCCUAACACAUGCAAGUCGAACGGCAGCACAGUGAGAGCUUGCUCUUACGGGUGGCGAGUGGCGGACGGGUGAGGAAUACAUCGGAAUCUACUUUUUCGUGGGGGAUAACGUAGGGAAACUUACGCCAAUACCGCAUACGACCUACGGGUGAAAGCAGGGGAUCUUCGGACCUUGCGCGAUUGAAUGAGCCGAUGUCGGAUUAGCUAGUUGGCGGGGUAAAGGCCCACCAAGGCGACGAUCCGUAGCUGGUCUGAGAGGAUGAUCAGCCACACUGGAACUGAGACACGGUCCAGACUCCUACGGGAGGCAGCAGUGGGGAAUAUUGGACAAUGGGCGCAAGCCUGAUCCAGCCAUACCGCGUGGGUGAAGAAGGCCUUCGGGUUGUAAAGCCCUUUUGUUGGGAAAGAAAAGCAGCAGGUUAAUACCCCGCUGUUCUGACGGUACCCAAAGAAUAAGCACCGGCUAACUUCGUG